rnacentral:rRNA from 1 species
UACGGAGGGUGCAAACGUUGCUCGGAAUCAUUGGGCGUAAAGCGCACGUAGGCGGCGCGUUAAGUCGGGUGUGAAAGCCCUGGGCUCAACCCAGGAAGUGCAUUCGAAACUGGCGCGCUUGAAUAUGGAAGAGGGUCGCGGAAUUCCCGGUGUAGAGGUGAAAUUCGUAGAUAUCGGGAGGAACGCCAAUGGCGAAGGCAGCUUGCUGGGACGGUACUGACGCUGAGACGCGAAAGCGUGGGGAGCAAACAGG